rnacentral:rRNA from 1 species
AACGUAGGAGACGAACGUUAUCCGGAGUUACUGGGCGUAAAGGGCGUGUAGGCGGUAUGCUAAGUCUGGCGUGAAAGCUCUCGGCUAAACCGGGAGAGGUCGUUGGAUACUGGCAAACUAGAGGAUGGUAGAGGCGUGUGGAAUUCCGGGUGUAGUGGUGAAAUGCGUAGAGAUCCGGAGGAACACCAGUGGCGAAGGCGACACGCUGGGCCAUACCUGACGCUAAAGCGCGACAGCAUGGGGAGCAAACGGGAUUAGAAACCCCCGUAGUCC